AAUUAAUCGUCUUGCCACUUUCUGUAACAUGCAUAGUCACUUCAAACUGACCUAACAAAAUACUUAAGUGAACUAGGAGAAAGAGAGGACAAAAGCUGAGGAUGGGGAAAAAGAUAAUAAAAAAAAUAACAGGAAGUGAAAAGCACAAUAUGAAAAAAAGUCAUCCUCAUUCACAUUCUUAGUUUAUGUAGUUAUUGUAGUAGAGGAUUUACUAUAAAUUAAAUUGGAAAGGAAUAGAACAUCACAACCACGUACCAAUUUUGUAAAUCCAAUUCAGUACUAGAAAAAUGGGAGCGGCAGGGAGUUUAUAUACCUCUUUGAAACUUCUCUAUAAGCACAAAAAAUUUGCUUGUGUUCUUUUCAUAAACAAAGUGUAAAGGGGCACAAGUAAAGUAAGGUAUUAUUGGCAAGGAAUAGAAAAUCUAAAACAUGAUAAAGGGGGAAAAAAAAAAGAAUUAGUUGUCUUAUUUUACUUGACAUGGUCUAAAGUAUAAAUGUUAUUCCUUACAUGAGGACCCGGUGUGCGCAUAUCACAGAUUUCAACUAAAAAGUUUCCUUUUGAGGCUAACAUCUUACACCUUAUAGUGAAUAUUUGGACGGGCUUUCUUCUUGUUUUUAUCUUAAGUAGUCGGAUGUAGUUUUAUAAGAAACUACAAAUGUUUUCACUUUGACUCGACCCAUCAAUCCUCUAAUUGAUUUUCACAUGUUAGUUCACAAUUUCUAAAAAUCUAAAUUUGCACAAUAGGGAAUUUCAGGGAGUAAUUGGGU
rnacentral:misc_RNA from 1 species